rnacentral:misc_RNA from 1 species
CCGAGUUUACAACUCCCAAACCCCUGUGAACAUACCUAUAUGUUGCCUCGGCGGAUCAGGCCCGCGCCCCGUAAAACGGGACGGCCCGCCGCAGGAUCCACAAACUCUGUUUUUAUUGUAACUUCUGAGUAACAAAACAAAUAAAUCA